CAGUGCAGUCAUCCAUAAAGUAGAAAGCAGUACUAAACUCCACUGCACAGUGUAGUGUUUCCUACUUUAUGGAUGAGUGUACUGU
rfam:Scleropages formosus scaffold15635, whole genome shotgun sequence.